CAUUCCCACUGCAGCGAUGACAACUUGCUGAUGUGCCUCUGGUUUCUGACUCCAAGCAAGAUGGAAAGGACGGAAAAGGGAAACCAGGAAAGCUGCUACAGCACCCAGAGCAAACACUUUAGAGUCAGCCCAGACUGUCUGCUGGCAAUAUAACAGAUGCACUUGAAACUCAGCUACAAGGGCACUUUUUCCAUCAAAGUCAAAUGAAGGCUCAUCAAAGGGUGGGACAUAAGAUGUAGCCUUCAAAGGACACUCCACUCCUUGCAGCAAUCUGUUGGUCUUGCCACCGCCCAUUCCCUUGGUGGAUUUUUCAGGAUUUGCGUCACUGCUCCAGAGAGUUAACAGCACUCCUCACAGCUUGAUGCAGAAUAUCAGCUGUAGCCAGAGAAAAGCAGAGUACUGCAAACACAGGUCUUGGCAGCAAAGGGAAGAGAGAACUAUCAACCAAAAACUUUCAUAUUGCUUUUACUUGUAACUUUUUAGUCCACCCAGCAAUUUGUUCCACAAAAGACUACCAACCAGAGUUUCACUAACAUUUACUUAAAGAAGAGCUGCAGGGAAAGCACUUACAAUUUACCUAUCUGUGUAGUUGUAACAUAGUGUAGAAGCAUUGUCUUCACAUGGAGAAAUGAAGAAAAUCAAUUGCAGUUCCCAAAAGGCAGAUGUAUUGGUUGAGAAGAUCACAAAAUACUUGCAGUUGCUCAGUAGACUUGGAACCAGAUCCCCUCUGCACUGCAUCGCUGCUCAGCUCUACACUGAAAGAGGGAAGAAAGGGGACUCAUGCUCUAGGGAAAAGCUCUUUAUGCUCCUCAAAUGGCUCUUAUCAAGUGCAGAAGAAAGAAGGGACGGAGGCAUUUGUCAUGCCCAAAGAGGCAUAUUCUGUUUGUAUCAUCGACGGGCACAUACAGAGGAUUACUGUGGUCCACGUUGCUGCACACAAGCGUGCUUGUAGCUCCUACUCAGGAGAAACGGGCUGAAAGCUGUCCAGCCUUUACAGAAAACAUUACUGUUGCUGUGCUGUCAAGGUCACUGUCAGCCUGGGUUAUCUGCUGUGUAAGUGCUAGCCUUACAAAUCAGGCUUAGCUAAGGGCUGUAAUUCAUACACUCAGCGUUUUGUGGAUUAUGUCCUUUAGCUUUCCCUCAUUGCCACUUUGGAUAUUCAUUUAGCUCCAGUGUGUGACUCCUGCAAUUUCUCUUUGGGGUAAUUUCCCCAACACACAGUGUUUCCCUGUACAUUUCUUAAUCACAAAUGUACAAACCCACUCUGUACGAGUAAUUUUAUAUACAAUGCUUGUUGAUAUCUUUGAACACAGAUGAGUUCACUGUUGGAUAAAACAGUGGAAAAAUGCAGGCCACAA